CGGCAGCGCCAAGCGGCGCCAGGCCCUGCCCGCCCGCCGGCACAGCUCCCGUUCCGAGUGGGACACGAGCUCCAGCAGCGUGAACGACCCCAUGGUGGACUCGGGGAAAGCCAGUGACAUCUCGGUGUCGAGCUGGCCCAUGGAGCCCCCGCCCUGGGCCCCCUUCCCGCUGCCCCAGCAGCUCUCCAGGCAGCGGCCGCACAAAGCCCACAGGCCCCGUCCCUCCUGCGAGGGGCUGGAGCUGGUCACCCUGGAGAGGAGCUGGACGGCCUGAGGAGCAGGGAGCAAGAGACGGGCGACGAGGUUCCGCUUUUAAAACCAACCACAUUUUUAUUUCCACGUAACAAGCUCAGUGAAGGGAUUUCAAACACUUUGACAAUACAAUCAACGCAGGUGCGAUGUCAGUUCCACGCCAGGCAGAGUCCUGAGGGAUUAUCUGCCACCGUCGUCGCCACGGGUCAGACCAGACCGCAGAAGCCAGCUUUGGCUUGGGACAGCGAAUUUCAUCGUAAGUAGUUACAGAUAAGUGUCUGGUAACACACAAUGCUGGCAUCCAACAGAGUUAAUGACUUACAUCCGGCAAUUGGAAAAUAAAGUCUAACAGAUUGUUGAAGUCACAUCAUACUAUGUACAUAUAUGGUCUGCCCUAUAGCCAUUUCAGAACAAGCUAAGCCACUGUGAAAGUGAAAUACAAAUUAAGCGCUGCUGCAUUGUUCAUCAUGAUUAAUGUAAAUGAGGUAUAAAUUUAAACACCAGUACGUUUUAAGCAUUAAAGUUUAUUUUCCAAAAUGCUCUCCUCAUUUGCAAGUGUCCUCUUGAGCAUCUAGCUGGGCACAAAUGGUGGGGUCGUUUGAAAAUGGGGCGUUUGAAGUGUACUGAGGAUGAGGGCAACGGGAUCCCAAAGGUGCUCGAAUAGAAAAGGAAAAGCAAGCUGCAGUUUUCUACACUUAUAUUCUCAUCUCAUAGUGGGCACGUUGAGGGAGAUUUUUGCUAGAAUAAAAUGCAGAUCUGUUCAUAAAAAAAAUCAGUUUGCUAAAAGAAAAAAAAAAAAAUCAAACUAUGGGAAUACAGAGCUAUCAUAUCGUUUGAUAUUUUCAUUGUAUAGAAAACAGCCUACAAAUAAAGUCACAAAAAAUAGACAGUUAUAUGCUGAGCAGCCAAAAACAUCAUGAUUUAUUAAUAUCUGGAGAAACUUCAUAAUUCAAACACAACCAAACUGUACAUUUUACAAUCACAUUCUAUUUGUAAACAGUUAAAAGCCACUGACUUCUUUUGCAUCUUCGGACACAAACAGUUAGAAUCAAGGCAAUGAAAUGAUGGCGAUUUCUGCACUGUUAAAAUUUUUACCCUUGCCUAGUCUUUAAUUAAUUGACUAAACAAGCAUUAUAUAAUACCUUUUGUGGCAAAAAGAUGUAACUCGUUACUUUUGCAAGAAAGUAUUUGCGAGAACUUUUUAAAACAUUUAAAACUUUUAUACAACAAACAAUUCUGUAAGCCCAAUAACUUGGUUACAGUAUGCAUAGUUACUCAGUUCGGCUUUAAGGUACGACAGUUAAACGUUAACACAGUCACAAGAGCAGAAACAGAGCCACUCGAUGGGAUUACAAAAAAAUUGUAUAACUACAGAUUAUUAGCAAACCACCACCACUCACUAAUAAAAAGACAGCGUCAGAAAGCAGUAUGUCAAACUCCAGCUUGAAGCAUUUUUUUUUUGGCAGAGAAAAGUCUUACAGAGCAAUAAGUAUUAUCAGUGCUAAAAGUUGAGUUUUUUUUCCUAUAAGAAACUACAAGGAGUUUUUACUGGGGAACUGGUUUUCCUGAGAGCCAUGCUCUUUGAUUUAGGAUACAGGAAUAGAAAACAAAAGGACAUGGCCAAACACUGUUCAUUAUUCCCAGAGAUAGAAAGCAUCUUUUUCAUUCUCAAUUUUUUUUUUUUUGUCUUUUUAAAAAUUUUUAAAAUGAUGGAAGAGUAAACAUUUUUCUCAAAAAACAAAAAAAAUAUUCUGUAAACAAGAAGGUCCCAACACGGGCACCCCCAAAACAAAAUUGAAAGCCUAUUGAAAGUGCAGGACCCCCCUGGCUUGCAGGCUGGGUUGCAAGUCACAGCUGUGGCCACAGUUUUUUAAACUGUAGAGCUAAAUUCUUUAGUUUUAUACAUGAAAAAACUGGUGCAAUACUUUCAUUCAUAAUCCUAAGUCAGUAUCAUAACUUGAUCUUUAAACGCCACAAUACCACAAUAAGGUAGGCAUACAUCAAGGCAUAGUAGAGAGCGCACACUGUUUGUUAAGAACAUCCUUGAGUAAACAUUUACACGUGAACUGCUGCCUCCCCGAUAUUGCCGAUUAGACAGAGAGAACAUCAUUCAGUGCAAAGUUAAAAAAGCUCAUACUCCAACAUUAUCAGCAAAAUGCAAAAAAAAAAAAAAAAAAAAAAAAAAAAUAAACAUGA